GUACGUAGGGUGCGAGCGUUAAUCGGAAUUACUGGCGUAAAGCGUGACGCAGGCGGUUCGCUAAGACGAUGUGAAACUCCCGGGCUUAACCUGGGAACUGCCAUUGGUGACUGGCGGCUAGAGUAUGGCAGAGGGGGGUAGAAUUCACGUGUAGCAGUGAAAUGCGUAGAGAUGUGGAGGAAUACCGAGUGGCGAAGGCAGCCCCCUGGGCCAAUACUGACGCUCAUGCACGAAAGCGUGGGGAGCAAACAGG
rnacentral:rRNA from 1 species